AUUGAACGCUGGCGGCAGGCCUAACACAUGCAAGUCGAACGAGUCGCGCACGGGUGUGUAAUGUCUGGGAAACUGCCUGAUGGAGGGGGAUAUCUUCUGGAAACGGUAGCUCAUACCGCAUACCAUCGGAUGUGCCCAGAUGGGAGUAGCUAGUCGGUGGGGUAAAGGCUCACCUAGGCGACGGUCCCUAGCUGGUCUGAGAGGAUGACCAGCCACACUGGAACUGGGACACGGUCCAGACUCCUACGGGAGGCAGCAGUGGGGAAUAUUGCACAAUGGGCGCAAGCCUGAUGCAGCCAUGCGGCGUGUAUGAAGAAGGCCUUAGGGUUGUAAAGUACUUUCAGCGGGGAGGCGUUACCCGCAGAAGAAGCACCGGCUAACUACGUGCCAGCAGCCGCGGUAAUAC
rnacentral:rRNA from 1 species